UGGAAUUAUACAAUUAAAAGCAAAAAGUCAUUUUUUAAUUGUUUCUAGAUGAUUAAUCAAACAAGUCAAAUUAUCUUAUGUUGAAGUGCCACAAUUUGCAAUAUGAAAGAAAUAAAGAACACAAUAAUUGUUGACAGAGAAAACUCAACGGGGUAAAAACUUCAGGACCAAGACAGUAACCUCUAUAAUAGACAAUGUUAAACUUAUAGUACGAUCCAAUCUAAAAAAAUUUAAUAGACUCGUCGAUCUACUUCCCGCGAUCUCCAAGAUCCGCCCGAGUGUGCUUCACACAUACCAAUUCCCGAUCUUUAGGAAUUGCUUAGUUCCUGUUAAUCACCAAAAACACUUUGUUCUUGUUCUUUUAUUGUGCUUUGGUCCAUCUUCCCUCAAUUUUCAGCAACCUUUGAAAGCUUUUGAGAAAGUACCUUUUUGUAUAUAUAUAGGAAGUGGGUGUUUUUGAUUAUAUGAAUUUGAGGUUUUUCUCAAAUAUGUGGUCGUAUGAAUUCAAUAAUCAACAGAUAAAUCAAAUGCUUGAAUAUGCCCCUGAAUCUUUGAAGGAUGAUAUGUGGGAGAAUUAUAAUGAACAACCACACCAAAUUCAUGUCAGGGGUUUGGUAUAUGUAGUAGGAGGCAUUUAGG
rnacentral:lncRNA from 1 species